AGGACGAACGCUGGCGGCGUGCUUAACACAUGCAAGUCGAGCGGAAAGGCCCUUCGGGGUACUCGAGCGGCGAACGGGUGAGUAACACGUGAGCAACCUGCCCCUAGCUUCGGGAUAGCUCCGGGAAACCGGAAUUAAUACCGAAUAUGACCAUGGACGACAUCAGCCAUGGUGGAAAGUUUUUCGGCUAGGGAUGGACUCGCGGCCUAUCAGCUAGUUGGUGAGGUAACGGCCCACCAAGGCGACGACGGGUAGCCGGCCUGAGAGGGCGACCGGCCACACUGGGACUGAGACACGGCCCAGACUCCUACGGGAGGCAGCAGUGGGGAAUCUUGCGCAAUGCGCGAAAGCGUGACGCAGCAACGCCGCGUGGGGGAAGACGGCCUUCGGGUUGUAACCCGUUUCAGUUGGACGAAGCUCCGUCGGUGAAUAGCGGCUGGAGUGACGGUACCUUCAGAAGAAGCCCCGGCUAACUACGUGCCAGCAGCCGCGGUA
rnacentral:rRNA from 1 species